CCAGGGUGAGAGCGGGUGGCAACUGUGUCUCUUUCACUGGUGGGGAAGAGUGUGACAGUCUGACACCCUCAAAUGUUAGUUCUGGAAACUGAGGCUGAGAAAAUCGCUACAGAGUGUACAAGAUGCAUAACUGACAUCUUAUUUAAACAGUGUUUUUUUUUUGGAGCUCAAGGACAAUUUUAUUAAUAGUUUAAAAGGAAAAACUCCAGAGCAAGCGAAGUGCAAAUCUUGGUCAGAGCCUAGAGGAGGGAGAUAGGGAAGGAAGGAACACGUCGUGCGGUCUGAGGUAAGCUGGCGUGGAAGUCGGCUGCACAGCAGACAUGCAGACAGCCAUGUGGCAGACAAGAGGCUAAAUGACCACAUGGCAGGGAGCGGGCUGUAGAGGAAGAGGAAGGAGCCCACGUGCCAGCAAAAGCUACGGAGGCUCUGUCAGCAACUGAAAGAAAGAGACAGGAAAAAGGAAACACCGCAGAAUGGUAGUCAGACCUGUCAGUGCCUGGUGCGGCUGGAGGAACGUUGUCGUUCACACUCAGAGAUGACCGGAUCAUCCAAAAAAGUCCUGAGGUCUUCUGAAACACUUCCUGCCAGGUACUAAAUCCUUAUUGGGUAUUCGACUUAGACGUGCCUUCUGGACUGGUGGAACGUGGCAGUACUGGCGUCCGAACUCUUUCAGGUCUUUACUCUGUGGACUCCCAAGUCUUCGAUCUGGGUCUCCUGGAGCUCUAGCGAGCCGCAGUCUGACUGUCGAAUGAAAGACGACCUUUAAUUCUUGGCCUCUCCCUCCCAAGUGCUGAGAUGACAGUUAGGUCAGAAUUGGCAUUUCUAUGAACAUGUGACCUAGAGAGAUGCUGAGAAUGACAGGCACAGCAAAGUGUAAGGCCAGAGGAGGCUGAAGACGGAGUCCUAGGGCAAACCCAAGGACCAGUGAGAUGGCAAAACUCUGAAGUCUGGACCGUCUGAGGUAAAUGUCUGUUUCCCUUACUGAGACCACCCCUUGAAUCCAUCACUUGUGGUGAACUUGCUAUUCAAGGUCCGUGAGUGAGUCUGUCUCUGCUGUAACAGGAGGGUGUAGGUGGGGAGGGUGAGUGGAUGGGUGGAUGGGUACUGAUGCUGCCUCUGAGGGAGAAUGUGAGCAAGCGUCGGGUAAUGAGCUAGCUGUUCAGCGAGCAGUGCUGGUAAAUGCGCACUGGAACAGUGAGUCACCAGCUGCCUGUCUGCCAGGCCUGCGCGCAGUGUGAGAACUCGGGGAUCCUGAGGCGGAGCAGGACUCAGAAUGGAAGGGAACUAAUCAAGAGCCCAGGAGGACAAGGUAGAGAGUAGACAGACGGGAGAGGAUAUCACCUUUCCUAGAGUUCAGAGUAGUAAAAUGGGAAUGUCAGGAUCGGUAGUGUGGGUCGGCAGUGUGGAGACCCCAGGUUUGGCAGUGUGGAGACCCCAGGGUCGGCAGUGUGGCGGCCCCAGGAGACCUGGACUAGGCAGUUUGGAGACUGAAAAGCCACGGGUACAUAUCCAUGCUAAAGAAUGUGACAGCCUGGCAAGGGGCUAGAAGAAGAGGUAGGAUGUGUGAGUGUGUUGAUCUCUUUUUUAUAAUUUAUUUAUUUUUUGUGCAUUGGUGUGAGGGUGUCA